CAGUCGCUGCGGUAAUACAGAGGGUGCGAGCGUUAAUCGGAUUUACUGGGCGUAAAGCGUGCGUAGGCGGCUUUUUAAGUCGGAUGUGAAAUCCCUGAGCUUAACUUAGGAAUUGCAUUCGAUACUGGGAAGCUAGAGUAUGGGAGAGGAUGGUAGAAUUCCAGGUGUAGCGGUGAAAUGCGUAGAGAUCUGGAGGAAUACCGAUGGCGAAGGCAGCCAUCUGGCCUAAUACUGACGCUGAGGUACGAAAGCAUGGGGAGCAAACAGGAUUAGAUACCCCCGUAGUCCCUGUCUCUUAUAC
rnacentral:rRNA from 1 species